GUUGGAACGAUGCAUUCAAGGACCAGCGGAGACCCAGAACAUCAACGUGAGAACAACUUGCUCCCCAAUUACAGCAACGUAAACUGAGGAGGCUCAAUCCUCCUUCGUCUUGAGGACGAUGCAACACGCCACUUCCUCUCUGAAGAAAAUGUGGAAAACACAGAGAGGAGAGGGAGGAGGUGGAGGAGGAAGAGGAGGAGGGGGAAGAGGAGGAGGAGAGGUCCGCUGCUGCAGGGUGAAGAGGUUCAGCUGGCUCAUUUGUAAAACAAACAUGGCUGCAGAAACUUCAAAGCUCAGCGGGACAUCUCAGAUAAAGACAUCAAACAGGGAAAG